UACGUAGGGUCCGAGCGUUGUCCGGAAUUACUGGGCGUAAAGGGCGUGUAGGCGGUUAGUUAAGUCUGGCGUGAAAGCUCUCGGCUAAACCGGGAGAGGUCGUUGGAUACUGGCUGACUAGAGGACGGUAGAGGCGUGUGGAAUUCCGGGUGUAGUGGUGAAAUGCGUAGAGAUCCGGAGGAACACCAGUGGCGAAGGCGACACGCUGGGCCGUACCUGACGCUAAAGCGCGACAGCAUGGGGAGCAAACGGG
rnacentral:rRNA from 1 species